rnacentral:rRNA from 1 species
CGCUGGCGGCGUGCCUAAUACAUGCAAGUAGAACGCUGAAGACUGGUGCUUGCACUAGUCAGAUGAGUUGCGAACGGGUGAGUAACGCGUAGGUAACCUACCUUAUAGCGGGGGAUAACUAUUGGAAACGAUAGCUAAUACCGCAUGACAAUUAAGUACUCAUGUACUAAAUUUAAAAGGAGCAAUUGCUUCACUAUGAGAUGGACCUGCGUUGUAUUAGCUAGUUGGUGAGGUAACGGCUCACCAAGGCCACGAUACAUAGCCGACCUGAGAGGGUGAUCGGCCACACUGGGACUGAGACACGGCCCAGACUCCUACGGGAGGCAGCAGUAGGGAAUCUUCGGCAAUGGGGGCAACCCUGACCGAGCAACGCCGCGUGAGUGAAGAAGGUUUUCGGAUCGUAAAGCUCUGUUGUUAGAGAAGAACGGUAAUGGGAGUGGAAAAUCCAUUACGUGACGGUAACUAACCAGAAAGGGACGGCCAACUACGUGCCAGCAGCCGCGGUAAUACGUAGGUCUCGAGCGUUGUCCGGAUUUAUUGGGCGUAAAGCGAGCGCAGGCGGUUAUUUAAGUCUGAAGUUAAAGGCCGUGGCUCAACCAUGGUUCGCUUUGGAAACUGGAUAACUUGAGUGCAGAAGGGGAGAGUGGAAUUCCAUGUGUAGCGGUGAAAUGCGUAGAUAUAUGGAGGAACACCGGUGGCGAAAGCGGCUCUCUGGUCUGUAACUGACGCUGAGGCUCGAAAG